ACACUUGCUGAAUAUUUAUGGAGAACAAACUAUGGAUGUGAAUACAGCGAGACAGUGGGUGGUGAGUUUCAGAAGUGGCAACAGCGACAGUGGGUCACCUCCACUGGUGAUAGCAAAUUUUUAUGAGCACAACAUGAAGGCUCUUGUUCAAGGCUGUCAAAAAUGAGUAGCUAAUGGUAGCGACUGUACUGAAAAUAAUGUUUUGUACUUGAGAUUUUCCUCUAUCAAAUAUCAUUAUUGUUCUUUUUGUAUUUGUUGUAGUUUCCAUGGAAAUAAACAGGAGGUAUUAUUUUCAGGGCAACUUAAGUAUUUUAAGGGAAGUCUGAUCUGUUUUUGUUUUGAUUGUUGUUUUAAUUUAUACCAGGAUUUAAAAUUGCUGAUGCUGCAUUCCUGGAGAUAUUCAAGGUCAAACUGGACAGGGCUCUUAGCAACCUGAUCUAGCUGUAGUUGCCCCUGUUCAUUGCAGAGGUGUUGAAUUAGAUGACCUUUAAUAGAAAACUUUUCACAGCUUUAUAACAAAUUACAACUUCCUUAUUUAGAAACAACAAAAAAAGAAUAAAAUUAUGCAGCAGAUUUUAUGGUCUCACCAUCAUAGUUAUGAUGUGAGUAUCUGUUGAGACCCUUCAUGACACACUGACAACACUCCCCUGGUGGUUUUAGAUGAUAUUUUAUGGCUAUGCUUUUAUCUCUGUACUGCCUUAGAUACUCUACUCAAAGUAAAUAAAGCAGUUCCUUUAAAGCCUAAAAUAUGUCUAAAUAUGUCUAAAAUAUGUCUAAAUAUGUCUAAAAUACACUCUAAUCUCCCUGACAAUGGUAAAAACAUAAUUUUUGGUGCCUAGAUGGUUGGAAGCCUGGAGUAAUGCCACAGAAGAGAAUGAAGGCCCAAAGAGGUUGAUAAUUCAGUUGAGACUCUAAGGGCUCAUAGUGACUUGGCCCUGAUCAAAACAAACAAGUUUCAAUAGUGAGAAUAAAGUGCAUAAUGUAAUGAAAUCUGAGUUUACAUAAUUAUGGGGAAGAGAAGAGGCUUUCAUGGUCAUAUACAUCUAACAGAAUAUCAAGCUAUGAAAGGAAACUCCACACUGUAGGAUUGGGAUUAGAAAACUUAACUGGGAGCUGCACAAAUAAACCUCAGAGAGGAGCAGCAACUACAAAGGUGCCUUGUGAGCUGGAAAAUGAUCUGAGCUCAAAUGAGCGAUAGAACAAGGUGAGAGAUGAGGACAAAUUCUGCCUUAAAAAUAUCAGAAUAAACACAAUUGCUCUGAUCAGCCACCACAUUUAGAUGGACAUAAAUAAAAUCAUAGUAUAUGCAGAGCUGACCAGCAGCAGUGCUUAAACUGGGAAGACAAUCUUAACCUCAACAAAGUAAAAACUAUUUUCACAUCUGCAGUUAUACAGUGCAUUGCUGUUAUCAUAAAAUAAGUGAGGUCACGAAGACUCUAUAUCUUCAGAUCUAGGCAGUGGCAAGUCUGAGCACAUCCCUGUGCUCAGGAGGAGGGCGGGGGGUGCUCCAGGCCCACAGCAGGCAUCCUCCUGAAGCCCCACAGAGCUCCCCCUGGAGUAGAUUUUCACCUGCAGCCCAGAGAAGGCCCAAGCCACAGCAGGGGGACAUUUCCUGAGGGAGAUGUAGGAAGGGGGUUGUUUUAGUAUUUGUUUCUCACUAGCCAAAUCUAUUUUAAUGGACAAUAAACACAGUUGAAUUCCACAUGGAAGUCCUUCCGAAAGAUGUAAGAUGUGAUAUUCACAAAAUUUAGCAUUUAAGAAUGUUUGUUUCACAAUGGCAUCAGCAUGAUAGCACUGUCUUCCAGAAUCCUGGAAUCACAUUUGUAAGGAAGAAGGUUCCUUUUUUUUUUCCUCGCACAAGUUUUAUUUUUUGACUUCAAUUCUACUCCACAAUUUAGAAAUAGAACAUAGCUUUGUUUUCACUUUCUCUUGACAUAUUUUAACUCUUGAAUUAUUUUUAGAAUUAUAAAGGAUAAUUUUGAUAGGGUUACAUUCAUUUUCAAUAGCUCAUAUUCUCAUUGACUGAAUUAUUCCCAAAUUGAAACAGAAUUUACCCUCUGCUAAUGCAAUAAAAGUAUGGGGCUCUAAAAGUACACAUGGAAUCUGUAUGUGUAGUAUCUUGGAAGUUUUCAUGCAGCCAUGGUCUCUGUUUUUAGAAAGAAUUAUUAUGCAAUUGUUAGACAGGGAUCCUCAGAUGCAAUAACCAAAUGGAAAGCAAAGUUCUUUUAGUUAUCUGAACCUUCAAAUAUUUGUUCAGAUGUUGAAUCAUCACUGUUUGAUACACACCAUCAAAAAACUUCCUAAUCUGUUAGUAUUGCUGUUUUAAAAUAGGUCACUUUUACCUGAGUUCCUUGGAAAAAAAUGCUUAUGAAUUGUAUUUUCAUAGGUUUUCCCUUCAGGAAGAAAAUACAUAAGCUUGGAAGGACCACCUACUGUGAUGAAAGGUUGAGAUCACUUUUGAGUAUUUUCUAUAGAUCUCCCAAAUGAUUUUUUCUGCAUGCUAUAUGAAAGUGUGGUGGAAAUAAAGCUCCUGUU
ensembl:lncRNA